CCGGCCCCGAGGCCGCGGCGGGGCCCGAGCCGAGCCGGGCGCCCGCGUCUCCCUCCUUCCCUUCCCCGGCGCAGCAGCUCCGUGGGGCUCCGGCCCGCCGCGCCCCAGGGGAAUGAGGGGGACCGGUGGGGCAGCGCAAGAAGGGACACCCUGAUCACAGCGGGUUUUUUAUUUUAGCUUUACUCUCUUCUGGAGGACGAAGAGGAACCCGGCUGCUCCUCGGCUGGCUCAGCGGUCCCACAUGCCAGGGUUUGGCAGAUGGCUUCCCCACACUGCCCAUUUAUAAAAAGCUUUUCCCAAUGCGUGUGCUCCAUUAAACUUCUGUGCCGUCAUGCAAAUUGCUGUGGACUUUGACUUCCAAGAGCACCUGCUUCACUUUCCUGCCCUGGCCCUGGCAGAGGCCGCCUCAGUCCCUGGGUGGAUGAAGGUUCCUGACGGUGCAGCAGCGGCCGCCUGCCCCUUCAGGGUGCCCCGGGGCAGCUCCACCUCGGUGUUCAAGGGGAGCCCCUCGGGAGCACGGACCACCCAGUGAGGUGUCCAGCCUUUGCAAUGGCAUUAAUUCGUUCAGGAGCAUGAAUAAUGUGUUUUUAAAGAGCUUUCUCAUGACUGCCUCAGGGAAAAAAAAAAUAAAAAUUACGGGACUAACA